UACAGAGGUCUCAAGCGUUGUUCGGAUUCAUUGGGCGUAAAGGGUGCGUAGGCGGCGCGGUAAGUCGGGUGUGAAAUUUCGGAGCUUAACUCCGAAACUGCAUUCGAUACUGCCGUGCUUGAGGACUGGAGAGGAGACUGGAAUUUACGGUGUAGCGGUGAAAUGCGUAGAUAUCGUAAGGAAGACCAGUGGCGAAGGCGGGUCCCUGGACAGUUCCUGACGCUGAGGCACGAAGGUCAGGGGAGCAAACGGG
rnacentral:rRNA from 1 species